GUGUUCAGGAGCUGAGCCUGUCAGCCCCGCUGACCGUGCUCCCGACCAUCAGCUGUGGGCACACCAUCGAGAUCCUCCGGGAGAAGGGCUUCGACCAGGCGCCCGUGGUGGAUGAGGCGGGGGUAAUCCUGGGAAUGGUGACGCUUGGGAACAUGCUGUCGUCCCUGCUUGCCGGGAAGGUGCAGCCGUCAGACCAAGUUGGCAAAGUCAUCUACAAGCAGUUCAAACAGAUCCGCCUCACGGACACGCUGGGCAGGCUCUCGCACAUCCUGGAGAUGGACCACUUCGCCCUGGUGCUGCACGAGCAGAUCCAGUUGCAGGACCAGGCCUGGGCAGGCGUGGUGGGGGGGCCUGCAGAAAAAAAAAAAAAAAAGAUGCAAAUUCCAAUGUCAGGGUCCCCAAAUCAAGUCUUCUGGAGCAUGUCCACGCUUGUCACCACCGUCUGUGGCUGCUUUCAAGCACGUCACGGGUGCGUGCUCAUAACAGAGACGGCAUGACCCCAAGACCUAAAAUACCACCAGCUGGCCCUUGUCGGAAAGUCCCCUGGCCGGCCCUAGUCCACUGCCUCCGGGCCGGGCUGCCAGGGCCACAGAAGCCUGAGGCACUCAGGGCUCCCAGGGCUCCCUUCUCCAACAGUUGCUGUGCCUCGGUUUCCCCGAAAUGCAAGGAGCUGAUCUCA
rnacentral:sRNA from 1 species